AUUGAACGCUGGCGGCAUGCCUUACACAUGCAAGUCGAACGGCAGCACGGGUGCUUGCACCUGGUGGCGAGUGGCGAACGGGUGAGUAAUACAUCGGAACGUACCUUAUCGUGGGGGAUAACGCAGCGAAAGCUGUGCUAAUACCGCAUACGCCCUGAGGGGGAAAGCGGGGGAUCGCAAGACCUCGCGCGAUUAGAGCGGCCGAUGCCUGAUUAGCUAGGUGGUGGGGUAAAAGCCCACCAAGGCGACGAUCAGUAGCUGGUCUGAGAGGACGGUCAGCCACACAGGGACUGAGACACGGCCCAGACUCCUACGGGAGGCAGCAGUGGGGAAUUUUGGACAAUGGGGGCAACCCUGAUCCAGCAAUGCCGCGUGAGUGAAGAAGGCCUUCGGGUUGUAAAGCUCUUUUGUCAGGGAAGAAACACCGGCUCUAACACAGUCCGGGAAUGACGGUACCUGAAGAAUAAGCACCGGCUAACUACGUGCCAGCAGCCGCCGUAA
rnacentral:rRNA from 1 species